rnacentral:lncRNA from 1 species
AAAAUUAGUGUUUAUGGAAAGGAUGUGAAAAAUGGAGUUUUAGUGGGUUUUUGGUGGAGAGAUGGUUGAGUGAAGUUUGGAGUGAAGUUUGGAAAUGGUAAUGGCUUGGAGUUAAAAUGAGAAAGUUGGGAUUUUUCGUGAACUUUGGUGGAGUUGAGAGGAGGAGAAAAUGGGAUUGGAGAGGUUGAAGAAGGUGAAAAUGGACAUAAAAAC